rnacentral:rRNA from 1 species
UACGGAGGGUGCGAGCGUUGUCCGGAAUCACUGGGCGUAAAGGGCGCGUAGGCGGCGCGGGAAGUCAUCGGUGAAAGCUCAGGGCUCAACUCUGAGUCGGCCGGUGAUACUCUCGUGCUUGAGCACUGUAGAGGCAGGUGGAAUUCCGGGUGUAGCGGUGGAAUGCGUAGAGAUCGGGAAGAACAUCGGUGGCGAAGGCGGCCUGCUGGGCUGUUGCUGACGCUGAGGCGCGACAGCGUGGGGAGCAAACAGG